rnacentral:rRNA from 1 species
GAGUUUGAUCCUGGCUCAGGACGAACGCUGGCGGCGUGCCUAAUACAUGCAAGUCGAGCGGAGUUGAUGAGGUGCUUGCACCUCUGAUACUUAGCGGCGGACGGGUGAGUAACACGUGGGUAACCUGCCUGUAAGACUGGGAUAACAUUCGGAAACGAAUGCUAAUACCGGAUACGCGAUUUGGUCGCAUGACCGAAUCGGGAAAGAUGGAGCAAUCUAUCACUUACAGAUGGACCCGCGGCGCAUUAGCUAGUUGGUGAGGUAACGGCUCACCAAGGCGACGAUGCGUAGCCGACCUGAGAGGGUGAUCGGCCACACUGGGACUGAGACACGGCCCAGACUCCUACGGGAGGCAGCAGUAGGGAAUCUUCCGCAAUGGACGAAAGUCUGACGGAGCAACGCCGCGUGAGUGAUGAAGGUUUUCGGAUCGUAAAGCUCUGUUGCCAGGGAAGAAUGCUUGGGAGAGUAACUGCUCUCAAGGUGACGGUACCUGAGAAGAAAGCCCCGGCUAACUACGUGCCAGCAGCCGCGGUAAUACGUAGGGGGCAAGCGUUGUCCGGAAUUAUUGGGCGUAAAGCGCGCGCAGGCGGCCUUGUAAGUCUGUUGUUUAAACUUGGGGCUCAACCCCA